rnacentral:tRNA from 1 species
GCGGCCGUGGUCUAGCCUGGUCCAGGACGGGAGCUUCCCAAGCUCUUAACCCGGGUCCGAAUCCCGGCGGCCGCACCA